CCAUAAACCAUUCAAUCUGCUCUCUGGAUCUGUGCGCCACUCCACCGGGGUUGUAUUCCUCUUGUAUUUCCAUUUUUUUCUUUGCGUAUUAUUUCCUUUGUUCCUAUAUCUAUUCCUCUUUGUUCCUCUCCUCUCUCCUCUCUCCUCUAUACUUCCCCUGCUACCUCGUUUCUUCGUCUCCGCCGGCGAGCAAAGCCAUUGUACCGGCGGGGACACGAUUGUCUCCGUCAUGUCCAUCUUCGGCAUGCUGCCAUCUUCCGCCGGCCACCCCAUCCUAGUGGUGCAUGAUGGUCCUCAACUGUGGAAUUAAGCCUUAAUCUCACAGCUUCGGUGGUCUGAAUUAUCCUUGUUCAACACAACCAUUUGAGUUUUCAGGUCUUCUGGACGCAACAAUGAACAAUGUUCCUUGUAGCACUAAUGACAUGAAUUAGUGCAGUAAUAUACAAUUCUAGUAUUCUACACUCGUUUCUCUACAUUAAUAUGCAAGUAGUAUUUAUUUCUCUUAUUCUUGUUGUACUUCUAAAUGCCUGAUUCUUUGUUUUACGUGCGGGCCCAUGUGGAAAAAUAUGAUGAAACAUAUUAUAUGUAAAAGUUGUACGUUACUAAAUGCUAAGAAUUUUUCACAUA